GUCAAUUCGGGCUCCCCUUUCCAAGUGAACGAGAAGGGAGCAAGCUCAGGAAAGGGGGAGGGGAAGGGAACGAAAACCGGAAUAAUAUAUCGGCAGGGCUCCUCGGGAUGUGGCAAAGCAGAAAUGGAGGACCAGAAAGAAUAACUGGGAAAGACAAAUGAGUCCAGAGAUGCCCUACCCCGCAGACAGGGAUGGAACAGUCCUUUCCAUUGCCAACCGUCCGGGUCUCUAAUCCGCCAAGACACCUCCUGCUAACUGGAUUUGAAGGAAUCCUCGCUCCUUGGGCUGCUAAGGAAGGAUGCAGCCCGGCUCAGAUACUGCCCUACAGGAAUGUACUCAACCCUGUGUAGGUAACACGUGCAUGUUUGGGGCUACGGCUCGCUUUGCCUCAAUGCUAAUGGAAAAUUCAUUUCGUUAAUGACAACAACCCGUUCAUUUUUAAGGGGGGGGGGCGUAAAAGCCCCCUCCCCCCCGCUUCUUGUCUCCACAACCUUUCUGCUCAAGGAAUACCUCCUAUUUUCCUCGGCACUCGGCCGUCUCCUUUGUGAAGGAUGAAAACGGGAACAAGACCUCUCUCUGCACAUGCUAAAGUUGGCACAGGAGUGAAAACACUGGCACUCUACGGAAGCCCGGGGAGGGGAGGAGUCCAAGAAAACCGCGAUCCCCGGCAUUUUCACGCUGCCCCCGGAGUUCAUGCAGCAUGAAGACCUUGCUAUUCUUUUCCAAGAAGAAUGACUACUUCCCCCUUGGAAACCCAGGGGAGCCACAGAGUGGCAGGUCCCUUUCCAGCCAAUGCACUGGGCCAUCUGCCAUCGCGGCCGUUCCGACCCUGAGAGGCAGCCCUAAUCGGUCUGUGUGCAAACUGCAUGGGGAAAGCAAGAUUUUCAACAUGGAAUUGUUUACUCUGUACUGUGUCUUGAACAAUCAUUUUUGGAGCUGAGUACCGAUUCUUCCCCGAUUGUGUCUGAUAUGGCUAGUGUUCUUUAAAUCUGCAAAAAAGUGAUAAACGAGAAAGGAUUAAACAGUAAGAAGUCGACUAAUGAGUAUAUCAAUGGUCUACUCACUGUGUUUGUAACUUUCCUGACCAUAAUUCCCUUUCUGGGCUAUGUGCUGUCUCCCCAUUACAAUGUAAGCUCCUUAUUGGGUAGGUACUGCUUCAUUUUUGUCUUUGUGUCUCCAAUGUUUAGCAUAAUAUUUGGCCGACAGUAAUUACUAAAUAAAAGGUUUGUAUUCAGUUAUUCAUUUUAAAUUAUGAUAUUUUUAUACAAAUAUAUUUUUAACAUUAUAUACACAUGGUAGAAGAGCAGAACAGCAGAGAGCAUCUCUUUCCCUCUUAAGACUCCUUCCCAAAAGGUGUGUUCAUCCAAUAGCAUUAUCCCCAAAUUCCAAAGCACUGUAGUGGGCAGGGUGGAAAGAAGUGGGAAGUUGGGAAAUGGGGCUUUGAAAGCUACCGUUUUUAUCAAACAAUUUCAGCCUAAAGACAAUGACAAAAGCAAACAAUUUUCCUUGGGCAUAUUUGAUUAAUAUUUUAAAGAGAUAGUUAAACAAUCAUCUUUAUAAUUGGUAUUUUAUUAAAAAAGUGGGGGUUAUAAAUUAUAAAGAAGCUUCAGAAAAGGCUUUUUUUCUUUAAAGGAAAGGAGAUAACUCUACGGAAACUGUUUUGAAUUCUCUACUUGAUUAUAUUAAUGAAAAAGAUAAUGGAUUCUGAACUUACUGACGCUGUUCUCCAGGCAUGGAUCCUGUGCAGCACAGUUCCUUCUGUAUGAGACGCAGUAAGAACUGUUCCCAAAUAAAAAGAUUAUUAGUCCAGGCCAAAAAAACAAAACAAAACAAAAAGAUUCCUAAACAUUUUAUAUUGUCUUGGGUGAUUUUUAAGUGGAAUUUCUCUUUCUAACUCCUGUUGCCUGGAUGUGUUGGAAAUAUAUAGAAAUGCUGUUGAUUUACGUGGGUUUAUUUUGUAUCCUGCAACUUUGCUAAAGUUGUUGAUUAUUCCCACUAGCUUUUUAGUUGAUUCUCUAGGAUUCUUUAAGUAGACCAUCAUAUCAUCUGCAAAGAGUGACAGUUUAGUCCCUCAUUGCCUAUUUUGAUGCCUUCAUUUCUUUUUCUUCUCUAAUUGCUACUGCUAGUGUUUCUAGUACAAUGUCAAAUAGUAGAGGUGAUAAUGGGCAUCCUUGUUUCACUCCUGAUCUUAAUGGGAAUGGAUUUAGUUUAUUCCCAUUGCAGCUGAUGUUUGCUGAUGGUUUUAGAUAUAUACUGUUUAUUAUUUUUAGGAACGACCCUUCUAUUCCUAUGCUUUCUAGUGUUUUCAAUAGGAAUGAGUGUUGUAUUUUAUCAAAGACUUUUUUCUGCAUCUAUUGAGAUAAUCAUGAGAUUAUUGUUGGUUUGCUUAUUGAGGUGGUCAAUUAUGUGGAUGGUUUUCCUAAUAUUGAACCAGCCCUGCAUUCCUGGUAUGAAUCCUACAUGGUCAUUGCUGGAGUGAUAAUUGCUACUUCAACAUUCAAGAUUAUCCGUUAGUAGGUUUUGUAAAUAACUGACAAAAUCCCUUGAGAAAUAUGUUUUAGAGUGAAUGCAACACCAAUUUUAACACCAUUUUGAUCUAGAUAAUACUUAAAAAAAAAAAACAGUCCAAGUUAGCACAUGGUAGAAAAAUAAAUUAGAACAAGGACACUUAAAUAAACUGUAAUCAAGAUUUGUGAAGUAGAGGAAAGGCUAGAACAAUGAAGAUUUACUGCUGAGUAUGGUACAUUUCUAGUAUUUUAUUUAGAAACAGCCACAAGAGGAUCUCUAUAAAGAUUAUCCCUCUGUGAAAUGCAAACCAAAACAAUUCCGAGGUAUCUUAUACCCAUUACACUGACUAAAAUGACAAAAGGGCAAAAUGACGAAUGUUGGAGGGGAUGUGGGAAAAUGGGGGCACUAAUAAUACACUGUUGGUGGAGCUGUGAACUGAUCCAACCAUUUUGGAGAGCAAUUUGGAAUUCCAUUCAGAGAAUCAUAAAACUGUGUAUAUAACCUUAGACCCAGCAAAAUAUUGCUGGGUCUGUUUCCCAAGGAGAUCAGGGGAAAAGGAAAAGAACCCAUAUGUUCCAAAAUAUUUAUAGCAGCUCUCUUUGCGGUGGCAAAGAAUAGGAAAUUGAGGGGAUGCCCAUCAACUGAGGAAUGGCUAAACAAAUUGUGGUAUAUGAUUGUGAUGGAAUAAAGAGAGAGUGAAAUGAGUAACACCAAGAGAACAUUCUACACAGCUACUGAAUUACUACUGGAAGAAUAAAUUGUGACUGUUACCUCCAAAGUGUGAACUGAAAGCAAAAACAUAAAAGACUUCAUUUGUGUGAACACGUCAGUCUCCCGGAUGAUACCUUCUGUGAUGUAGGUAGAGGCUGGGACACUGGUGAAUGGGAUUUAGUAUGUAGAUAGGAAGAAAAAUAAGCUAAACACAUAAGAGAUUUGUGACUUCAUUUAUGCACAAUCUCCCUUUUCUUUGUAUAUGGAAAUGCUUAUUUGAUUUGGUUUUGUAAAAUUUGGAAUAAAAAAAGAAUUUUAAAAAAGAUGAUCUCUCUGUUAUAUGCAUUCAUCUUGUAUUUCCUAGACCUACUGUGAACAUACCUCACAGUUCAACUGCCAUAAGUGACAUUAAUAAACUGAAUGUUCGGUUAAAAA